GACGAACGCUGGCGGCGUGCCUAAUACAUGCAAGUAGAACGCUGAAGGAGGAGCUUGCUUCUCUGGAUGAGUUGCGAACGGGUGAGUAACGCGUAGGUAACCUGCCUGGUAGCGGGGGAUAACUAUUGGAAACGAUAGCUAAUACCGCAUAAGAGUAGAUGUUGCAUGACAUUUGCUUAAAAGGUGCAAUUGCAUCACUACCAGAUGGACCUGCGUUGUAUUAGCUAGUUGGUGGGGUAACGGCUCACCAAGGCGACGAUACAUAGCCGACCUGAGAGGGUGAUCGGCCACACUGGGACUGAGACACGGCCCAGACUCCUACGGGAGGCAGCAGUAGGGAAUCUUCGGCAAUGGACGGAAGUCUGACCGAGCAACGCCGCGUGAGUGAAGAAGGUUUUCGGAUCGUAAAGCUCUGUUGUAAGAGGAGAACGAGUGUGAGAGUGGAAAGUUCACACUGUGACGGUAUCUUACCAGAAAGGGACGGCUAACUACGUGCCAGCAGCCGCGGUAAUACGUAGGUGGCAAGCGUUAUCCGGAUUUAUUGGGCGUAAAGAGAGUGCAGGCGGUUUUCUAAGUCUGAUGUGAAAGCCUUCGGCUUAACCGGAGAAGUGCAUCGGAAACUGGAUAACUUGAGUGCAGAAGAGGGUAGUGGAACUCCAUGUGUAGCGGUGGAAUGCGUAGAUAUAUGGAAAGAACACCACUGGCGAAGGCGGCUACCUGGUCGCGACUGACGCUGAGACUCGAAAGCGUGGGUAGCGGAAAAGGAUUAAAUACCCUGGUAGUCCAAGGCGGAGUCCACAGUGGAGAUGAGGCGCACCGAUCCGCGCGGACCUCCAGGGGGGGCGGGGGCGGCCGGUGGUGGCCACAACCCUGUCCCAUGAUUAUU
rnacentral:rRNA from 1 species